CUUUGACCCUAGGUUCCUCACAUGGGGCACAAUCCACUGUGUGAGCAGCUGCCAUCUGGGCUCAUGACUGCCCCAUGAGACUUUGGAGCACGGGCACCAGAGUUACCAUGCUGAUGUUCCCAUUCUUGCUGUGCUUUACAACAGAGGUGGUAUUCAGAUCAUGGAACAGCACUCCUGCAAGGGCACUGACCUGUCAGAACUCUCUACAAGCCCUUCCGGUACAUAGUUGUAUAUUCUUCGUUGUGGGUCCUUCUAGUUGUGGUAUGUGGGACGCUGCCUCAGCGUGGUUUGAUGAGCAGUGCCAUGUCCAUGCCCAGGAUUCGAACCAACGAAACACUGGGCCGCCUGCAGUGGAGCGCGUGAACUUAACCACUUGGCCACAGGGCCAGCCCCAGAACCAUCGUUUCAUAAUGAUCUGUGAUCCUAUUAUUCAAGUGCCAAAUCUUUUGAUUCUUUUUGACAAACAUCCUAAAUCAAAUUCUAAAUGAAGUCUUUUUGACCUUGAACCAACUUUGGGAUUUUUAAGAGGACCCCUGGAACAUCUCAAAAGAUUUGUUCUCUCUCCUUAUAAAUUAAAAAAAAGUGCGGGGGGGGGGGAUGUUAAAUUAAUUAGGCUUAUUUGAUAUGUUAAAUUAUUGGGAAGCAUUGUCAAAUAAGUGAUACUAAACCUUCUUAGAUUAUAUCUUUGUGGAUAUAUGUUAUUAAUAUGUGUUCCAGAAAUUGCAUGAAAUUCCUAGAAGUUUGGUAUGUCCUGGUAUAAUGUUAAUAUUUGUAAUUCCAGUUAUCUUAAAAUGUUGUAUGUCACAGAAAUAACCAAGUUUCUUUGUCAAUUGCAUUAUAAUAUACUCUCAUCAGAUCUUUAACUAUGGCCAUUUUUAAGUCUUUUGCCAUUUAUAGUUAUUGUUUUACUCUGACACUUUGGCAAAAGUGUUCCUGCAAAAGUACUUCACCUUUAAGGAAAUUCCUGCAAAGAACUCUGGCAAGCACACAUUUCUGAUAACUUUAAGAUCAUAAAACUGAACUGGGUGAGAAUUCAGAGAACUAAUGGAAAAACUGGAUUCAAGAAGAUCAAGAAUUAAUAACAUGGGACUGAAUGAACUGAUAAGGAUGAUUAUAAUUUUUAUGACUUUUUGUUUGAAACUGUUGAUUCUUUGAUGUUUUGUUUUUCUAGAUUUGAGAACAUUUUUUCUCUUAAGCUACCUAUGGCUUAGAGCAAUUUGGUAAAGUAUAACUUUGUGAACAAAGAGAAAACAAUUACUUUUUCUCCCUACCUGAUCCCUCUUGAAUUUGGAAACUCUUAUUAUUCUUAUUUUCAUGGUGAUAUGGCUAUUUGUGUAAGCUCAAUAAGAAUCUGUUCUCCUUGUAACAGGACACAAUUUGAAAUAUUGGUUAUAUUACCAAGGCAUUGACUAGAAUAUCAUAUUUGAGAGAAAAUGUACAUAGAGUCAGAUAUGCCAAACAGCAUUAAGGAAUUAAGAUUGAUUUUAUGGAGCCCCUAGGAAAAAUAUCCUGGUACCUUGCUUACAGGGUUCCCAACAUCCUAACCAGGUAAGUAAAAAGUCACUUCCUGGCAGGUGCAGGAACCCCAGGAUAUUUGGGGGACCUUGAGAAGAGAGUAAUUGACCCAAAUCUAUAGGUAUUGCAAAGUCUGAUGGCAAGUCCUCAGCUUGGCUUCCUAGCCUUAAGAGGCUUGUAAAAGUCCAAUCUGAGAUUCCUUAUGAAAAGUUCCAGCAACAGAUUAAAAGAAUCUAAAUGAUCAAUCACUAUUCUUGCAUCCUUAUGUAAAUAAUCAGGCCAAAUUUAUCCAAGCCAGAUAUUUUACAAACAAAUUAGUCUUAAUUUGGCUAUCUUUGGCAGAAAGGAAGGUGACUUUAGAGAGAAAAACUAUGUUUCAGUAGAAACUAUAAUGCACACUUGUGGAUAUAGACACUUGUUAACUUCUUUGAGGUUUUGUUAUUUGCCUGUGAAAUGCACUGGAUCUGAAUUCCUCUAAUUUCUUCAAAUAUCUGGCUACAAAUCUCCAAACUGACAUUUCCAAUUUUCUCCCACCUUUUUGACUUGGAAUCAUUGAGAACUAAAGGUGCCCUUUUCCUGAAGCCCUGAAAACUGAAGCUGAACAACUUGAUGUCAGCUUCAAGAAAUCACCACAAUAGCUAAGAUUUGGGCAAUCUUCUUCAUGCCUGUUGCUGUAUAGACCACUCAGAAAGUUUAUUGGUACACCUGAUGACAUCAGCAGAGACAUUCAAACUGCAAACCAGGAAAAUCUGUCAGAUUGCCACUUCCUGCCCUCACUCCAUCUGAAGAUGCUUGGAGCCUGACAUCUAGAAAUCUUAUCAACCAACAGCUCUCAGGACUGAAACACUAGCUUUAGAAUUUGAUCCAACCAAUGACCUUUUUUCCACUUUCUUACCUAUAUCCCUCUCUUGGAUAUUGUUGUUUGAUAGCUUCUUCUCAGUCUAUUUUGCCAUUUUAUCCUUUUAGACCCAAUAUUCAAAUGGGCCUAGAAACGUAAAUUUCCUACAUUCUGCCCUCCACCUUCUUCUCUCUGAAUACUUUCUCCCUGAGCAAUCUCCCCAAAUCCCCCAAGUACGUAGUUGUCUAUUUUAGGUGCAGGUCCUUCUAGUUGUGGCAUGUGGGAUGCCGCCUCAACAUGGCCUGAUGAGCAGUUCCAUGUCCAUGCCAGGAUCCAAAUUGGCAAAACCCCGGGCUGCCAAAGUGGGGCACACAAACUUAAUCACUCGGUCACGGGGCCAGCCCCUCCCUGAGCAAUCUUGUCCAUUUAGUUUCUUAAUAAACCUAUAUGCUAAUGCUUCCCAAAUCUAUGGUUUUAAAACCAACUUCUCCUAAGAACUGAAGACCCCACUUUUUAAGGGAUUCCUAUACAAUGUCAUAUGCAUAGCCCAAAACACCUUAAAAAAAGAUGUCUACGAUGAAAUUUGCCACUUUACCCAAAUCCAUUCCUCUAUUUGUUAAAGGCCUUGCCAUCCUGCCAAACAUAGUGCCCCAGAACCCCAGUCACAAUUUCUAUUCCUCUGUCUUCUUUACCAUGCCCCCAUCGGGAUAGCAGACAUGGCUUCACAACUCAAAAGGAGCUCCCCCUGUGCCACACCUGUAAUACCUUCCCUCACCCCCAACCAUGAUUUUCUCGUAGGACCUGCUAAAAACAGCACCUCAUCCAUCAGGUCCAGUGACUGGUCUAAGGGGUGGAUAUGUGACCCAAGCCCUUCUACCAGGGUCCAUCUCUGGAAAAGUUCGACUGGCCCAGGGGAAGAUCCCAGUCUUCUUUAGUCCCUCAGCUAGAAGGACUGGCUGUGGCGAUGAUCCUGAAGCAUGGAGAGAACUUCUCUGCAGUAGAAAAGAAUAAAGGCUACCUUCAAAGAGAACAUACGGAGGAAGAAUGACAUCUGAGGCCCUGAUUCAGUUGUCCCUACCUGGCUCUAUCUCUGCCUUUCCCAAAGUUAUGUUAUUAGCCUAAUUUUGCAAAUAAAUUUCUCUUUUUUACUUUUUAGAUGAAUCAAGCUGGGCUCUGUCAUUUACAAAAUUAUAACUUAAACCUUUUCUUUUUACCACAUGCCUCCCCUUCCCCUGAGCAGAUAUGUAAGCAUUUAAUCAGUUGCCAAAUCAUGUGGAUUCCACGUCUUAAACAUUCUUCGUAUGUAUCCCAUUUUCAUCACCUAGUCCAGGUCCUAGAUCAUGUAAUGGCUUCCUUACUAUAUUCUCCAACUCUAGUCUCAUCUCCUCUAAACAUCCUCCAAUUAUUGUCAAAGAACUUUCUAAAGCUUAUAGUAAAUGUGUCAGCCUUCACUUCAAUAACCUUCAGUGGCUCUCUAGGACUCACAGAGUGAAAAUAAAAUUGCUAAAACAGCUUCAAAUACCCUAUGAUUUGGCAUUUGCUUUCUUUUCCAUUUUAUCUCUCCUAAGAUAUCUUUCAACCACUCACCUAUCGCUAAAUAUUUCCUGAACUUUCCUGUCUCUAUGGUUGCCAUUUUCUCUCCACGUAUUAGAGAUACAAAUCCUACCCAUUCUUAAAAUGUGUCCUUCAUAAAACCUAGAACCUCUCAAUCAUCAGCAAACUGUACAUUUUCUUGGCUUCUACAGCACUUUAUACCUCUACUGAAACACCUUUGCUUUGUGCUAUAGCAAUUUUCAUUCAUCGUAUUUUCCUUUUAGGUUUUAAAUUUCCUUGAGGACAAGGACUCUUCAUUAGCACUAUUAGAAAAAGAAACAACAGAUCCAAAAUGGAAGCACUUGUGCUAAGCUCCACGUCAGCAAAUGAAGACUUGAUACCUAACCGAAUUGCAGUUUCAGUCUCUCCUGGGAACGUAACCCUUCACCAGUCAAUCUGGAAUUACUUGGUCAGUACUAGUGAGGUAAUCUUCCUGAUAGACCCUACCUGUCCCCACAGGAAGGUGACCUUGCCUGAAACAAUCAACUCUUUGCUAGAAAUUUCCUUUUCCCACCCCAUUCUGUCUAUAAAAGACUUUCAUUUUGUGUAGUUGUUUGGAGCUCCUUUCUGUUUGCUAGACGGGAUGCUGCCCAAUUCAUAAAUCAUGGAAUAAAGCCAAUUUGAUCUUUAAAUCUACUUAGUUGAGUGUUGGUUUUUAACAGUACUAAAG
rnacentral:lncRNA from 1 species